rnacentral:lncRNA from 1 species
GUAUAUAUGUCUUUUAAAGUUGACGAUCUACAGAUUCGACUGCAAAUCUAAGGGAAUGAAGAUGAAGAGCGGCAAACUCUCUAGCUGUGUUGUUGGCUGUCAGCGUACUGCUCGUCAAAGGAAUUCAGUCCAAAUCGUGUUGCGGAGGACUGAUCUGGACUGUAGGACAUACCCUCAACGAUUUGAACGUCUCCUAAUGAGACAUUUUUAGUAUCCUAGGUGUGCUCAUAAUUGAAUGUUUACAAAUAAUAAUUUUUUUCGGCUUACAUUAUUAAUUCAACUUGGUGAUCUUGAUUAGUGCAUGAUGCUAAUGAUGCCAGUUAUUAUGAAUGUGAUAUCAAUAAUGACAAUGAAAAGCAACAGUAUCAUUAUUUAUCAUAAUGCUGAUUUUAUAGGAUCUAUGUCUGUAUCAUCACUAUUGCUUUAUUAUUACGAUCUUGAUUA